GUAAAGACAGUGAUGAGGAAUAGUAGAUUUGAGGUUCUUUUUAGAGAGCUAGCGGUUGGUGAAAGCUAGUAGGAAAGCAAAUUGAACUCACCUUCUGAGUCUGCCCGUGUGAAAAACAUGUGCCGUUUCUUCUGCGUUAAAGAGGCUUGAGCCGAGUGUAAUCACUAAUUUGGGUGGUACCGCGGGAGUGCAAUUCUCUCGUCCCUUCU
rnacentral:ncRNA from 1 species